rnacentral:lncRNA from 1 species
CUCUGUUUGUAGUUACAGCUUACAACAGCAAUACAACAUUAGAACUACUGCACACCAAGCUUUAUGCUAGUGCCCAAAGAAAUGGAGAACCAACUAUACAAUAUAUGCUACCUGCCUCUCUCUUUUUUGUUUUCCUAUUCCCCUUGCAGAUACAAUAUACAUGACACCAGCUGCAGAAGCAAAAUGCUCCAGUUCCCACGAGGUUGGUGGGUACGCGGCAGUGUCGGUUACACACUCGCAUGUGAUGCUGCUGCGCCAAUCAUCUCCCCGGAGCCAAAUAUCGGGAUUCCGGCAGGAGUUGCUCUACAUCCACAUGGAGCCCCCAGGAUCUUUCAGAGAACUAGAGAGAAACCGCGUGGAGCCGCCGGUAAGUAUACCUACUGAAUCCGCUGGAGAUUGUAGUGCACCACCCUCUCGAGGGCGCUUCUGAACUCGCUCCUCGGAAGGCACUGCAGGCUCUGAAUCGCCAGCGCGCCUUUCUCCUCAGCGAGCUCCUGAGCUCUCCUGAUACCGCCGCUCCGGUGGACGAGCUCGACCGCGGCCGCCAGGGAUCCCGGCUCGCUGAACUCAGAGUCGAUGAUCUCCCGCAGCCGUGGCUCG